rnacentral:rRNA from 1 species
UGGCUGAGCCCCUCUCCCUCUCUCCCAGAAGACGAAGGAGGGGAGGCGGAGGCUGAGGCUGAGGAGGGGGUUUAAGCCGGCGUGAGUAGGUUAGGUAGCUAGGCGGCGGGGCAGGGGCAGGGGCAGGGGAGGAGAAGGAGAGGGGACUGGGUGGUUGGGCGCGGGUUGCGGGGCGGGCGCGCGGGCACGGGAUCUGGGGAGCGGCGGCGGAGCCUGGGGGGCGGAGGGCGGCCGCCGCGGCAAGGGGAAGGAGGGGCGGCGGCUGAGAAGGGGGCGACCCAAACUCGACUUGGGUGGGUGGUCCAACCAAUUGGGAGAAGGCACGGGCGCGGAUCCACUUAACUAGCUGUCGGUUCCGCCUAAGAAGGCAUGACUAAGUGUUACCGCCUCCUCCUGCUGCUGGUCGCGGACGACGUGUCGGAGCCGCAGUGGAGGCGGUUGUAGCUGCUGUAGCUCUCCUUCUAGGACAGCGUCCGCUUUUGGCUGGGCUUCUUCCCGCUGCGGCUCUGCGGCCCCGGCUGGCGGUGGCCACUGGUCCUCUCAUCGGACUGUUGCGGAGUUCUACUACGAGUCCGGUUUGACGUGGUCUUUGACGCGAGGCACGUCGAACUCUAGCUGCGACACCGAAGGUGCGAGCCUCCCCGAUUUGUUCGACGACCUUUCUUUUCGCCGCCGCCACCGAGCCCAACGCGACUACGACUCCUAUUCUUCUUCUUCUUCUUCCUCUUCCACUUCCUCCUCCUCUUACGACUACUUCUGCGGGGAGCACCUCCUCGGGAGGUCGUCCGCGAACGGCGACUCGCCGAGUCCUCGGAGUUCUCCCGAUUCCACGUCUAAGUCGCUCUCUAUAACGUCAGCCCUGGACCGGGCAGGCCCAGCCCGUUGGUUUUUCUGUUCUACGACCGUUACGACCAGCUUCUGCUCGGCUCCGCCUUCUUCAGUGACUUCGGCGGACCACCCGGAUUCUUCUUCAGCGGCUGCGCAGCCAACUUUUGGCAGUGGAUGCUACUACUGCUGCUGAAGCUGUGUCACGAGCUACCUCGAAGACGCCCCAAGUACCUCUGACUUUCCCUUCUCGACUAUUCCUUCCCAAACGACUGUGGCAAAGUGUUCAACUUCCCGAAACUCUUCGCGCAACUCGCGGGACCUUGAAGAUCGUCCGUUUUACCGAGACGUCUUGUUCGGCUCCUUUGGUACCUUCGAAGGUCGUAACGAUUUCAACGAGUCCGUUACGUCUUGUACCGUGUUUCGGCGGGUUGAUGGUUUAACGAACUACGCCUCAAGAACGGAUUCGACCUUCGUGGCUGACGAGGCAAAGUUUCCGAACCUCAUGGAGAUUUUGCGGUACCGGAAGGGUCAAGUCUACUCGCCUUUUUGUUUUCCGAUUUCUCAUUCUGGUUCUCUGGCAACGGACCGUUCUUUACCUACUUUCGGUUAAGUUUCUUCCUCUGUAAUAACCUACUACUCCUACACCCUCUACGUCGGCGUAGUCGAAGACACAGACUCUUACUUCUACUCCAUUAUCUUCCAAGACUACCCAAUGGAGGUCAGUAGGAACUUCCACCAAAUUCUUAAGGACCGAGUCAAAUGUGUGUCGACAAACUGAUGGUUUUUCACCCUCACGUCACCAAUACCCUCAAUGUAACAGUUUCCCGACCACCUUAUUAACCGCUACUUUACCCGAAUCCUUUCUGGCACGUCCAGAAUAGUAAAGAACCACGAAACGUACUGUCACCAUACAUGUUCGGAUCAUAACAAUAGACAGGACACUGGGAAAACGUUGUCACCGCUUCCCUCCGGUCAUUCACCAUAGGUUUUAAGUUUCAACUCUAGAAUGUACUAAGACGUUUGUCAAGUUCAUUUUUCCCGUUCUCUAUGUCACUAAGACUCUCACUACAAAGAACCCUAUCGCUGGUCCUUCUCCAAUGUGCAUACUUCGGACGUGUUUUCACCCUACUGAACUAAAGUGCACAACAUUUAAGUCCCAGUCCAAACGAAGACUGAUGUAUGCUCGUCGAUUCUUAGUAUGCCCUCUUCAACGAACUACAUCUUACCCCUAUACGACAUAACCUACUCCCAGUGGCGUAUUCCUUAGGAUUACGGCUUCAUUGAGAGCACACGUUCGUUAACGUCUGACACGUGUCCUAUUAAUACUGUCCCCGCGGAUAGGUCUUAUUUGAAAGCCUUGACACCAGAGAGAAACUAAAACACAAGGGACCCUUUAAUCCUCAGGAAGGUCACAAACUCUGGCUCAAGAGUCAAGGUUAAUGACAGCCACCCAUACGAUUACGUUGUGGUAACGUUCACAGGUGUCGCAUGUCUACACGACAACAGGACGCACUGAACUAGUACGGUAUAGAAGAAUCCUCUUACUUUCGACUACAGUUACGUGUCGAAGGGUUCUUUUGUCUCGUCCAAGAAAAGACAUCAAAUUGAGUUCUCGUUGCACGAUGAAUAGCACGUAAGGAACGAUCAAGUCUCCACCUCGUUUAUAAACUACCAUUGUCUUUGAGGGAAAUGCCCUAUCUACAGGAUUCCUUCUAUACAUUAGUAGGACUAGAAGAACUCUCUCUUGUUCGGCGAGUCUUAGGACUGAUACCCUUAUAACUUUCUUCACCCUUCUACUUUCACCAACUCGUUCAUGAAUUUCAGACCUUUCUAGUUCCGGUAGCACAAGAAGAAAAACGAGUCUGGGUUGUCUACGAACUGUAAAACCUUUUGAAGAACUGACGGGCGCUGAUGGUUAUAGCUUCUUACCUACCUGAAUGUGGAGGUUUCGUUUCUUACCGUGAGUAACUACUCAAGUUAUUAUGUCUACUUUAAAAGUAAAAGUAAGACUGUUGUUUUCAACCACCUAACCCAUGCUUAAACUGACCACGUUUGUCCCAAUAUUAUAAGCUAGGACUGACCUUGGGAAGCUGUCUGUACGUCCGGUCCCUUGCUCGUACCGCUUAACCCGUUUUUUCUCUACACUGUCAAAUGUCCAACUAGUGUGCACCCUGCUAUCUCCUCUUUCAGAUGGUAGCUGUCUAUAUGUUCGUAAAAGAGUGUUUGUUUCAUGACUUUUUGGGAGUCGUUUCCUCCAAGAAAUUUCGGUCUCUGUACUUUCUAAAUAAGUGUAACGUUCUACUACUGUUCUUACCAAGUUGACUUUGUAGUUUGUAAAAACCGGUUGACAGACUUCUACACUUGUAACCACGAGGUCUACCGCUCCUCGCUCCGCUCGCUAGAAGUCGAAAUGGCUGGUCGCGUCUCCGACUUGGUAGACAACUACCUCUACCCUUUAGUCUGGAAUCUAGACUGGUUCGCCUACUUCUUAGGUUGUAAAACUUCUCAGAAAAACUACCGGUCCCGCAAGUAUCACGAUAUUUAGUACUACGGUAUUACUCACGAUUGCUGCUAGUCUUCGACGCCGAUCUUCGUCUCCGAAGUGUCCACCGUGUUUCCCGUCGGCUCCGAAAUGCGGUUAGUGCCUACGAGUCUUCGGCACUACUAAAACGACAAGGGUGUACCUGUCCUUCUCGACCACGACGGCCCCGUGGUUGGAGACAGGCGUCCUUUAAACCCAGUUGUGAGUUGUGGGUCGACCAGUCAAGAAGCGUCGGUAGUCUUCCAAGUUCGUCGUCGUCGUCCCAAGUUUCAGAAGUCCACCCGCGAGAUGUACCGUUUCGUGACAGGAGGCGGCUCGAAAACCGAUUCUACGCACCUUGCGCUCUCCCCCGUCGAAGUCUACGUGACCUUGUAGUUGAGUCGGACCCGAGGUGAAGGUUGGUCUCUGGUCCGAGCUGUCUCUUGCCUGCGUGUAGAUUGAGAAGAAGAUCGUCCUUGUACUAACACGUCGGACUCCAGGACUAGGCGGUCAACACGUGGAAGUAUGUUGUCUUACCACCGAGGCGGUCGAGCUGCUCGAACUGCCUUGUAAAGUUCUUGGCGUAUGUCGGGUUCCUAUACGACCACAAGUUCUUGGACGACUUCCUCUAUCGUUGGAACGUUUCCCCGCGUCCGCCGCGCUGCACCCACGACUUUGGGCUCAUGCCCAUUUAAACGUCGACAUCAAGUACCCGCGUUUAAAAACUAAUCCUCAUCUAAGAGAGUAUUUUAAGUAAAUCUAUCCUACAACUAUGUCUCUAACUAUCAAAAGAGAAUUUAGGAAGCAAACCGACUGUCUAUGUCAUGAAAAGAAAACGUACCUUCUCUACCGUGUCUUUAUAAUUAAUCCAGUGCCCAAGAAAAAGAGGGGUCAAUUUAAUCACCAAAAGUCUUCGGGAACGGAAAAUAGGACAAAACCACAUGUACAAAUGACCCUUUGUCUGACGUUAGACUUAAAUGUUUAUAACGAAAGACA